UUCGCAAUGCCCGAAAGGGUGACGAAGCGACGCCGCGUGUGGGAAGAAGGCCUUCGGGUUGUAAACCACUGUCGGGAGUUAAGAAAUGCAAGGAUAUUAAUAGUGUCUUUGUUUGACUAAGGCUCCGGAGGAAGCCACGGCUAACUCUGUGCCAGCAGCCGCGGUAAUACAGAGGCGGCAAGCGUUGUUCGGAAUUAUUGGGCGUAAAGAGCACGUAGGCGGCUAUGUAAGUCGGUUGUGAAAGCCUUCCGCUCAACGGAAGAACGGCAUCCGAUACUACAUGGCUUGAGUGCGGGAGGGGAGAGUGGAACUUCUGGUGGAGCGGUGAAAUGCGUAGAUAUCAGAAGGAACGCCGGCGGCGAAAGCGGCUCUCUGGCCCAUAACUGACGCUGAGUGUGCGAAAGCUAGGGGAGCAAACGGGAUUAGAUACCCCGGUAGUCCUAGCCGUAAACGAUGGGCACUAAGUAGAGGGGUUUU
rnacentral:rRNA from 1 species